UGGGGAAUAUUGCACAAUGGAGGGAACUCUGAUGCAGCGACGCCGCGUGAACGAAGAAGGCUUUCGAGUCGUAAAGUUCUUUUAUAUGGGAAGGUAAUGACGGUACCAUAAGAAAAAGCCCCGGCUAACUACGUGCCAGCAGCCGCGGUAAUACGUAGGGGGCUAGCGUUGUCCGGAAUCACUGGGCGUAAAGGGUUCGCAGGCGGAAAUGCAAGUCAGGUGUAAAAGGCAGUAGCUUAACUACUGUAAGCAUUUGAAACUGCAUAUCUUGAGAAGAGUAGAGGUAAGUGGAAUUUUUAGUGUAGCGGUGAAAUGCGUAGAUAUUAAAAAGAAUACCGGUGGCGAAGGCGACUUACUGGGCUCAUUCUGACGCUGAGGAACGAAAGCGUGGGUAGCAAACAGG
rnacentral:rRNA from 1 species